UAUCCCCUACACGCCGUGUCUCGAGACUCAACCCCGCUGAGCUCUGGGGUCGUAGCUGCAGCUGCUUCGGCACUCCAAGACCAGAGAGGAAGCAAAGGCAGAGCUGCUCAGCCAGGCGUAUCUGCUUUGGCCUUGCAGGAAUCGUCGCCCACUGAGCUUCUGUCCAAACCUCAGUGGAUCAUAAUCUAAGUUUGGCAAACACUGAGCCGGGAGGAGUCAUGUCUGCGGGGCCCCAAGAGUCCCUGAAUUUGGGUCCUGAUCACCCUGCUCCACCCAGUCGAGUUGGCACAUGCACUCAGCCCAUAAGGAAAAAGGGAAGGAAGGAAGGGAGGGAGGGAAGGAGGAAAGGAAAGAAGGAAGGAAAGGAGGGAGAGAGGGAAGAAAGGAAGGGAGGGAGGGAGGGGGGAAGCGAGCGCCUCCACCAUCGUAGGCAGGACCAGUGAGAGCUGAACGGGGCUGCGCAGCUAGGUACCACUCUGGGACUCUGGGGUUUCUUAGGGGAUGACUUGUUUCUGGGGUCCAGGUAAGAGGAAUUCAGGGUCACACAUCCAAGGAUGUGAGUCCAUGGGGCAGCUGGGCCCCUCUGAGCCCCUCUGUGUCCUGGUCUCCUCUAAAUGCAGAUGAUGAUGAGAAUCCACGCCCAGCCCACGGCUUGGCCAGUCUCCGGAAGAGUGUGUUUCCUACAGCGCUCAGUGCAGCAGGAGGCAGGAGACAGAACUGAACAUCCAGCCAGCCUCCCACUGGAGCUCAGGCCACAGGCUUCAGGAUCCACUGCCAUCCUCACUGGCUUAGCUCCCUGCUGCAGGCUCAGUUAGGAAACCCUGGGGGGUGGGCUGCUCCAAGUGCAGGCUGCCCCCCAGGCAUGUGGAACACCAGCCCUGACUGCCAGGGCCAUCUGAGGUGGACUGACCAUCCCCCGGGCACUUUGAUGAAGUGUGGGCACGGUGUGAGGCGUGGCCAUUCGUCAUCCUUUCCUGCAAAGCCUGGGCCAGGUUAGAGAUGAACCCCAGCAGUCUCAUACCCACCAAGGCCACUGGGAGCUUCCAUGUAGUCACCGCCAGGAGUGGCUGCUGGCUGGGGAGAGGAUCCUGGAGUGCCGGUCAUCGGAGGCCCUCGCAGGUGACCAGGAACAUGGUGGAGCAGCAGGAUGCCUCUUCUCUGCUGUGCCCCAAGUUGGGGUUUGCUCUGGUACCCCUGCAGCCCUUUACAGCUCAGCCGGUUUCUUCCUCAGACCAGCUCUCCCAGCAGCAACCUGAUCAACAGCUCCAAGGUCCCUGGGAGAUGACACUCCUGGAUCCCUCACAUGACCAGGUAGGACAUCUUGGGUGGACACUGAGCCAUUGCCUGCCACCAGGGUGACUGCUCCUCCGAGAGUUGCCCAGAUAUGAAAUGCACCUUGUGUGAGGGGAGUCGCACCUUCGCUGUGGUCAGCCUUGAGGUUUGGUGCUGUCUGCCGCUGCAGUACAUGCUGGCUUCUCCU
rnacentral:lncRNA from 1 species